GCCGCUUUAGCUCAGCUGGUAGAGCACCACAUUCGUAAUGAGGGGGUCGGGGGUUCGAAUCCCUCAAGCGGCACCA
rnacentral:tRNA from 1 species